rnacentral:lncRNA from 1 species
CCCCGUGUUGGUGUCCAGGGGACUGCUCUGGGCCUGAUUCUGCUGUGCCUGCUGCUCGCCUACCCCCAGGGGCAUCCUCUGGCGCUGGGCAUUUGGACAUUUGGAGACCUAGAGUGGAAAGGUCGCCCCGCCCUAUCCCUGCCCCCACAGUCUCUCUCUUGCGCCAUCACAGCCACCCUCCCUCCAGCCUCUACCUCUGCCCUCCCGAUGCUACUGAGUGCCGCCUCCAGCAGCCUCUGUGCACCCAGAGCAUCCGGGGAAAUGGGGAUCUCCUUGAGCAGACGGCAGGCAGUUCUCAGGCUCGCGUGGCAAAAGCAGGAGCCAGUGUUUGCUCAGGGCCCCAAGCCCAGGAUCACUCAGAGAACCUUCUCUGGAUGGGCUUGGAUUGGUCCCGGAGGACCCAGGUGUACUGCUACCUGGUGCACCGGGAUGGCCAGGCAUGGCCCCAAGGGGAGCCAGGAAAGACCCCUGUCCCACAGCUGCUCUGCCACUGGUUGCUCUUGGUCCCCACGCUCUGAAUUCCUGGACCUGAAAACCAAAGCAAUCUGGUCAGCCCCAGGGACAGAGUGGCCCAGUGUCACACCUCCUGCUUUCCUCAGCUGCCAAGCUGGAAGCCUGAUCCUGAUUGAAGAGCUCUGCCUGCCUCACCCCGGGGACUGA